AACGAACGCUGGCGGCAGGCCUAACACAUGCAAGUCGAGCGAGGACUUCGGUUCUAGCGGCGGACGGGUGAGUAACGCGUGGGAAUGUGCCCUUCUCUACGGAAUAGCCCUGGGAAACUGGGAGUAAUACCGUAUACGCCCUUUUGGGGAAAGAUUUAUCGGAGAAGGAUCGGCCCGCGUUGGAUUAGGUAGUUGGUGGGGUAAUGGCCUACCAAGCCGACGAUCCAUAGCUGGUUUGAGAGGAUGAUCAGCCACACUGGGACUGAGACACGGCCCAGACUCCUACGGGAGGCAGCAGUGGGGAAUCUUAGACAAUGGGGGCAACCCUGAUCUAGCCAUGCCGCGUGAGUGAUGAAGGCCUUAGGGUUGUAAAGCUCUUUCAGCUGGGAAGAUAAUGACGGUACCAGCAGAAGAAGCCCCGGCUAACUCCGUG
rnacentral:rRNA from 1 species